GUAAGACUGUAACUCUGUGUCUCUGUGAGUGUUCUAAAUUCCCACUUUUUUAAGUAUUUUAAUAUAUAUGUUAUAUUUAAUAUGUAAAGCAACAAACUACCUAUCAACUAUCAUACCAUACAUAUUUUUUUUUUUUUUAAAUUUGAUAACCUUUAUUUUUGUUCCAGUUUUUUUAAUACGGGCUCGGGCUAGUACAGAGUACUGCUAUUAGCAGGGGUGAGCUAACCCGCGGCUUAAUUAAUUUUACAGCCCGCAAGAUUUAUCGCACUUUUACAAAAUAUGGUUACAAUGAGGCCCGGAAGUUCAUUUGCAUGUUUUUAUUGAGUGCAUCAAAAAGUUACUGGAUGAGCUAAAACUUUAAAUCACAAUCUAACGAGUUCAAAAUGAAAUUUCAGUGUGCAUAUUUUUGCAUAUUUUAAAAUAAAAUUGCAUUUUACUUGUGUUAUAAU